GUUUGGGAAUCAGAUCUCUUUAGUUAAAUCGACCAUUUUCAUCUCUCCAUCAUCUGUGAAGAAAGAAGAAGCCCCCCAGAGUGAGGCACCGGGCAUGGAGGACUGCCAUCAUGGAAGGACUCCUACCUGUUCACGGCUUGCUCCAGCACCAAUGUCUCAGUCCACCUGCUCCCUUCACUCCAUCCACUCUGAGUGGCAAGAAAGGCCCCUGUGUGAGCACACAAGAACUCUGAGCACUCACAGUGUGCCCAACAUAUCAGGGGUUACCUGUAGUGCCUUCGCUUCCCCUUUUGGGUGUCCUUACUCACAUAGACAUGCCACCUACCCUCACUGAGUGUGCUCUGUGGAUCCUCCUUCAGCCAUAGAAAUGCAGUUGCGAAGAGUAUUACACGGUAUUAGAAACUCACUGCAGAGUCUUUCACAGUACCCUAUGAUGAGAGUACCUGAUCUUGCUGCUGCUCCAUAUAGUACUCAGAAAUCAUCUGUUCUACCUCUUUAUGAAAAUACUUUUCAGGAGCUCCAGGUAAUGAAGUGAAGCCUGAAUUUGUUUAGAACACAAAUGAUGGAUUUAGAAUUGGCAACGCUGUGUCAGCAUGGUUUAUCAUCACAUGACUGAGGAGGAAAGGUUUGAAUUUGAUCAGCUCCAGGGCUUGAGAAAUUCCGUCCGAAGAGAACUUCAGGACCUGGAACUGCAGCUGGAGGAGUGCCUGCUGGGCCUGGAGGAGCAGCUUCGUGCUGUGCGCAUGCCUUCACACUUCCGCUCCUCCGCACUCAUGGGAAUGUGUGGCAGUAGAAGCGCUGAUAACUUGUCAUGCCCUUCUCCAUCGAAUAUAAUGGAACUAGUCACCGAACUGAUACAGGAACAGUCAUGCCUGAAGUCUGAAUUGGGCCUAGGACUUGGAGAAAUGGGAUUUGAAAUUCCUCUUGGAGAAAGCUCAGAAUCUGUUUUUUUCCCAAGCAACAUCAGAAUCAUCAUCUGUAUGUUCUGGUCCCUCUCAUGCUAAUAAAAAAACUGGAGUACCUUCCACUGCUUCAGUGGGCAAACCCAAAACCCCAUUAGUGGCGAGGAAGAAAGAAUUCCGAGCAUCGGUGGCUCUAAUGCCAACGGCUCCUUCUAGAACAGGCUCUGUACAGACACCUCCAGAUUUGGGAAGUUCUGAGGAAGUUGAUGCAGCUGAAGAAGCCCCAGAGGUUAUAGGACCUAAAUCUGAAGUGGAAGAAGGGCAUGGAAAACUCCCAGUAAUGCCAGCUGCUGAGGCAAUGCAUAAAAAUGUGGAGCAAGAUGAGUUGCAGCAAGUCAUAUGGAAGAUUAGGGUCUAUCGUUGGGGAAAUCAGACGGGAAAUUGCAAGUGGACUUUGGCAGCAGUAUCUUCAAGUAAAGCAUCUAAUUCUAAGCAAGAUAAUCAUUAAAUAGAAAUUAUAGGCUGACAUGGAUCCUAUUAGCUGUGUAAUACUGGAGUUACCAAUGAUAGGCACUGGUGGAGGUGUUACUUGUGCUUUGGAAGACACUUGCUGCUGAACUGGGCUACUGUAUACAGUGUACAAUGUGUAUUUCUUCAAGUGUAUCUUUUAAAAAAACAUACAUAGAAACUUAGGCACUUUGCUAUUUCUUUUCUAAACUAUCAAAAACUGUAGCAGUUUGUAAAGCCUAACAUUUGUUUGUAUGUCAAUAUUUUUCAUUUGAUUCCCUAUUAGAAUUAAUUAUAAAACUUGAAGACUUCCAGACUUGGCCAACUUAUAAAUAACAUAUUUCUUCAUACUGGCUUCUUAAAACACUGACCUCUAUGAGGUAUUUACCGUGCAAUAACUGAUUCAUUUUUUGAGAGCUUGAAGCAACCAAUUUCUCACUCCACUGCUGUUACUUAAUGUCACUACCAAGAAGAAAAACUAUUCUGUUGUUAAAAAAAAAAUUGCUCUUAAUUCUUGAAGAGGUUACUAAUAGCAGUAGGAUAGAAUUAUAUGAGGUUACCUACAACUACUUAAUGUUCUUACACCGUAAGCCUUUUUGCUUUACUCAAGACAAAUGUAAUUUUAUCAUUUCUUAUGUAGUAUUUUUCUUUUUGAAAUGUGCCUUAUGUUAAACACUAUGUACUUUCAGUUUUUGCAUUGUCCAGACUUAUUAGAUAGAAAUGUUUCUUCUUCUCUCUUUUAGACUAAAUAGUAGAGUAUCAUCCAAAUAAUGGAGCCCAUGACUUGAAUGAAUAGAAAGGAAUAAGCUAGUGUUUGUUUUUUCAAAAUGGAAGUAAUUUAGAUUUGUUCUCUUCCAUACAUAAAAUGAUUUUAGUUCAGUUUCUACCAGUGAAAGCUAUUUGUUUUUAUGAAAAAAAA